rnacentral:rRNA from 1 species
GAUGAACGCUGGCGGCGUGCCUAAUACAUGCAAGUCGAGCGAACAGACGAGGAGCUUGCUCCUCUGACGUUAGCGGCGGACGGGUGAGUAACACGUGGAUAACCUACCUAUAAGACUGGGAUAACUUCGGGAAACCGGAGCUAAUACCGGAUAAUAUAUUGAACCGCAUGGUUCAAUAGUGAAAGACGGUUUUGCUGUCACUUAUAGAUGGAUCCGCGCCGCAUUAGCUAGUUGGUAAGGUAACGGCUUACCAAGGCGACGAUGCGUAGCCGACCUGAGAGGGUGAUCGGCCACACUGGAACUGAGACACGGUCCAGACUCCUACGGGAGGCAGCAGUAGGGAAUCUUCCGCAAUGGGCGAAAGCCUGACGGAGCAACGCCGCGUGAGUGAUGAAGGUCUUCGGAUCGUAAAACUCUGUUAUUAGGGAAGAACAAAUGUGUAAGUAACUAUGCACGUCUUGACGGUACCUAAUCAAAAAGCCACGGCUAACUACGUG